rfam:Loxodonta africana unplaced genomic scaffold scaffold_34, whole genome shotgun sequence.
CCCUGGGUGGUGCAAAUGGUUAACUCAUUCGGCUGCUAACCGAAAGGUUGGAGGUUUGAGCCCACCCAGGGG